rnacentral:tRNA from 1 species
GGCGGUGUAGCUCAGGUGGCCAGAGCAAGCGGCUCAUAUCCGCUGCGUCGGGGGUUCGAGUCCCUCCACCGCUA